UACGUAGGGUGCAAGCGUUAAUCGGAAUUACUGGGCGUAAAGCGUGCGCAGGCGGUUUUGCAAGUCCGAUGUGAAAUCCCCGGGCUUAACCUGGGAACUGCAUUGGUGACUGCACGGCUAGAGUGUGUCAGAGGGGGGUAGAAUUCCACGUGUAGCAGUGAAAUGCGUAGAGAUGUGGAGGAAUACCGAUGGCGAAGGCAGCCCCCUGGGAUAACACUGACGCUCAUGCACGAAAGCGUGGGGAGCAAACAGG
rnacentral:rRNA from 1 species